GUGCUGCAGAGACCUGUAUUCUGCUCCUGGGAAUGUGUAAUGAAUGCCAGCAGGCAGCUCUGUGAUCAGCAGAAGACACAGCCAAUCCAGCCAGACUGGCUAAGUGGGUAUUGCACAUUCCUCAGCACACUCGGGGAGCUUGCCGAAAACCAGGAUGUCUUGGGCUUUUUUCAGCAUUCCAAAUGAAACAACGAAGGUGUGCUGAUGGAAAUCGUGGAUACGAAGCUCCGAUAAUUGUCCCGGAUUCCUGAGCCCUCCGUCCUUCAGCGGGUCCAAUAAUGAACAGAGAGAGAGAGGACUGGAUGUGCCUGCCUGCCUGGAAUGCAGCCGGAGCUGAAAGCUGACACCAGCUCGCUGGAAAAGGACUUGCGAGCAAAGGCUGUCUCCAAGACAACAGAGUAUUUUCCCUGUGAUGCAUUUACACAGUGGGGUUAAAGUUCUAUGAAAGCAACAGCUGUUGUAAAAACAUUGUAUUAAAUAUGCUUAGAAC
rnacentral:lncRNA from 1 species